rnacentral:lncRNA from 10 species
AUGAGAUGAGAUGAAAUGAGAUGCAAUAAUGAGAUGAAAUGCGAUAACGAGAUGAGAUGAGAUGAAAUCAUGAGAUGAAAUGAUGAAAUGAAAUGAUGGAUGAAAUGAUGAGAUGAAAUGUAAUGAGAUGAAAUGACAAAUGAAAUAAUGAAAUGAGAUGAAAUGAAAUAAUGAAAUGAUGAGAUGAGAAGAAAUGAUGAGAUGAAAUGAUGAAAUGAUGAGAUGAGAUAAAAUGAGAUGAAAUGAUGAGAUGAAAUGAUGAGAUGAAAUGAAAUGAUGAGAUGAGAUGAAAUAUGAGAUGAAAUGACAUAAUGAAAUGAAAUGAUGAAAUGGAAUAAUGAAAUGGAAAUGAUGAGAUGAGAUGCAAUGAGUUGAAAUGAGAUGAAAUGAUGAAAUGAUGAGAUGAAACGAUGAGAUGUGAUGAAAUGAUGACAUGAAAUGAUGACAUAAAAUGAGAUGAAAUGAGAUGUAAUGAUGAAAUGAGAUGAGAUGAAAUGAGAUGAAAUGAUGAGAUGAGAUAAAAUGAUGAUAUGAAAUGAGAUGAGUGAUGAGAUGAAAUGAUGAGAUGAGAUGAUGAGAUGAAAUGAUGAGAUGAACUGAUGAGAUGAAAUGAAAUGAAAUAAUGAAAUUGAAAUAAAAUUGAAAUGAGAUGAAAUGAUAAGAUGAGAUGAUGAAAUAAAAUGAUGAAAUGAUGAGAUGAAAUGAUGAGAUGAGAUGACAUGAAAUAAUGAAAUGAAAUAAUGACAUGAAAUUGAAAUGAGAUGAGAAGAUAUGAGAUGAGAUGAAAUGAUGAAAUGAUAAGAUGAAAAGAGUUGAUGAGAUGAUGAGAUAAAAUGAUGAGAUGAAAGAUGAGAUGAAAUGAUGAGAUGAAAGAUGAGAUGAAAUGAUGAGAUGAAAUGGGAUGAAAUGAAAUUAGACGAAAUGUAAUGAGAUGAAAUGAAAUGACAUAAAUGAAAAAAUGAAAUGAAAUAAUGAAAUGAGGUGAAAUUAAAUGAGAUGAUGAAAUUAAAUGAUGAAAUGAAAUGAUGAAAUGGAAAUGAUGAGAUGAAAUGCCGAGAUGAAUGAUGGAUUUGAAAUGAUGAGAUGCAAUGAUGAGAUGAAAUCAUGAAAUCAUGAGAUGAGAUGAGAUGUAAUGAUGAGAGGAAAUGAUGAGAUGUAAUGAAAUCCCCCGCACUGCAUCCGAUGAAAUGAAAUAAUGCAAGGAAAUUGAAUUGACCCUAUCACCCGGAAUGAGCUAAAAUGAGAUGAAAUAAGAAAUGAUGUUUUGUUUUGUUGACAUGCUGAGGUGAGAUGAGAUGAGAUGAGACGAAAGAUGAGAUGAGAUGAGACGAAACGAUGAGAUGAAAUGAAAGGAAGAGAUGAAAGGCCGAGAUGAAAUGAUGAGAUGAGGUGAGAUGAAAUGAGAUGAAACAAGAUGAAAUGAUGAAAUGAUGAGAUGAGAAGAAAUGAGAUGAAAUGAGAUGAGAUAAAAUGAUGAGAUGAAAUGAAGUGAAAUGAAAUGAAAUAAUGAAAUGAAAUUGAAAUGAGAUGAGAUGAAAUGAGAUAAAAUGAUGAGAUGAAAUGAUGAGAAGAAAUGAGAUGAAAUGAUGAAAUGAUGAGAUGAGAUGAUGAGAUGAAAAAUGAUGAGAUGAAAUGGUGAGAUGAAAUGAAAUGAAAUAAUGAAAUGAGAUGAAAUGAAAAGAAAUGAUGAUAUUGAAAUGAAAUUGAAAGAUGAGAUGAAAUGAAAUGUUGAAAUGAAAUGAUGAAAUGAGAUGUGACAUGAAAUGAUGAGCUGAAAUGAUGAGAUGAAAUGAAGUGAAAUGAGAUUAGAUGAUGAGAUGAAAAAUGAUGAGAUGAAAAAUGAGAUGAAAUGAUGAAUUGAGAUGAGAUGAGAUGAAAUAAUGAAAUUAGGUGAAAUAAUGAAAUGAGAUGAAAUAAUGAAAUGAAAUUGAAAUGAGAUGAGAAGAAAUGAGAUGAAAUGUUGAAAGGAGGAAAUGAUGAGAUGAGGAGAUGAAAUGAUGAGAUGAAAUGAAUUGAGAUGAAAUGAUGAGAUGAAAAAUGAUAUGAAAAAUGAUAUAAAAAAUAUGAGAUGAAAUGAAAUGAGAUGAUAUGAAAUGACAUAAUGAAAUAAAUGAAAUUAGAUGAAAUGAAAUGAAAUAGUGAAAUGAAAUGAUGAAAUGAAAUAAUGAAAAUGAAAUGGAAAUGAGAUGAGAUGAGAUUUGAUGAAAUGAGAUGAUAUGAAAUGAUGGGAUGAGAUGAGAUGAGAUGAAAUGAUGAGAUAAAAUGAUGAGAUGAAAUGAUGAGAUAAAAUGAUGAGAUGAAAUGAUGAGGUGAAGUGAUGCACUGUCACGUGUGUGUCUAUUCUUUUUCCCAACCAACAAAAAUUAUAAAUCAUUAAUUUUUUAUUAUUUAAGAAUAUUCUUAAGAGUUGAAGGAAAAAUAAUAUCUGUACAUUAUGGGUUACAAUGUAAGUAUAAAUAAUACAUAAAUAUAUUAAAACUUACAAAGAAUAUGUUUUGGAAUCGAAUAUACCAUGCUUCUGUGAUGACAGUUAUUUCAUGCUGGUUGUCACAAUUUUACAUGAAAAACUAAUGAAAAAAUGUUUUUAACUGUUUCUAAAAAUAACAGUUUCCAAAACAGUUUUACAUUCGAAAUAUGAAAAAGAUGUCUUUGUGUUCCUUAAUCUGAUGAGAUUUUCACACUCUGCACAUGAUAAUUGUUAGAUUUUUAUUGUGUUGAUAAAUUGUAUAUCAAAAAAUGUUAUUACCUCUUAAAUUAGGAUUUUUAGGUGAUAUAGGCAGAAAGGAAGGCAAGUUUUUAUAACUUUGUCUAAAUGAACUUUGUAAAUGCCUGAGUAUUAAAAGAUAGCAUGUCUAUAAAUCACAAUGUAUAUAUUACUGUAUGACCUAGGACCAAUCAAAACCAUUACCUCUGAUAACAUUAUAUUGUGCCCAGUAUAAAAUAGAUAUAAUAAUACCUCAAACUUAAAUCCAGGCAUUGUCAUUGAAUAUCUUAAGAAUAUGCAGCAAAGGUGCUUUUAAAAAUACAAGCUAGUGAUUGUACUAAAUUUGUAAAUCACAUAGGAUAGUGGGUCAUUUUAAGAAUAUUAUUUCAAUCUAUAAACGUGGAUGUCUUUCCUUUUUUGUGUUUUCUUUAAUUUCUUUCAUUAGUAUUUGUCAUUUUUGUUGUCGAAAUCUUUUACUUCCUUGGUUAAAUUUAUUUCUAAGUACAUUUUUGUAGCUAUUGUAAAAGGAAUUGCUUUCUUAAUUUCUUGUUUCAGCUAGUUUACUAUCAAUAUAUAGAAAUGCUACUGA